rnacentral:rRNA from 1 species
UACGGGGGGGGCAAGCGUUGUUCGGAUUUACUGGGCGUAAAGGGCGCGUAGGCGGCGCGGUAAGUCACUUGUGAAAUCUCUGAGCUUAACUCAGAACGGCCAAGUGAUACUGCAGUGCUAGAGUGCAGAAGGGGCAAUCGGAAUUCUUGGUGUAGCGGUGAAAUGCGUAGAUAUCAGGAGGAACACCGGUGGCGAAGGCGGGUCUCUGGGCCGAUACUGACGCUGGAGGAGCGAAAGCGUGGGGAGCGAACAGG